rnacentral:lncRNA from 1 species
CUUUCGUGAAAGAAAAUGUCGACAGUUAAGGUAUAAAAAAUUGUAAAAUUCACUCCAAAUUUAGAAUCGAAAUUCAAAAUUCCAUCAAUUGCUGGACCUAAUUCUCUUCUGCCCGUAAGAUUUAGUUUGUCCCAGUUAAUUCGGCCUCAGUCAAAUCCUCCAUCUAUGAUUUGGUGAAAGGGUUGGAAAGAUCCGCGUAGAGAUCGACCACCCUUUUAAAAUUAUUGUUGAGUUCCCGAAUUAGACCCACAUUUCGAGUCAAAUUAUCCGAGAUCUUGGACUCGUGAUUCUGGUUAAUAUCGUUAAUUAACAGCGUGUUUUGAUCCAAAAUGUUUCGAACUUCUCAGAAAAACUUUGCUGCCGAUUGUUCACCAUUGCCAUUGCCAAUUCCAAAGAAUAGUUUGUCACCCAUAUUAGUAUAUUUACCUUCCAAGCUCCAAUGUGUUAGGCGCGGAAGCUCCAAUGACACACGUUGAUUUCAAAUCGAAUCAUAAAGAAUGAAAUUUAAUGACAAUAUUGAAGUAUACUAGAUCACACCAUAAAAACACAAGAUUGAAUUUGUAAAGAAAGAACACAAAGGGUAAAUGCAGAGAAAUGAUGUUUAUUAAUUCAACAGUAUGGAGAAUAUAAUACAUACUAGUAAUACUGCUUCUAUGUUACUCUUUACGAACUGACCAUAGGAGCCUUGUAUUUAUAGGCCAACUCUAGAAGAGUUCUGAAAGGCCAGAAAAUAUAUUACAAUUAGGAUAUCCAAUUUCAACAAGAUUUUGUUUCCUUAUUCAAUUUAGUUUCUUUAAGCCCUAUGUUAAUAUUUUUUUAGUCCAAGUCGAAUACGCCUCUUCAAAAGACUUAUAUUUGAGUCAUACUCCUAACAAUCUCCACCUUGACUCAAAUUUCGGUGUUACGAACGAAACUCCUAGAUUUCAAAUUCAUCUGCAUCGAAAUUCACUGGCCGAAUCUCCUCAACACAGUAACCACUCCAUAUAAACCAAACACUCAUCCUCUGCCCCGCGUCUACAACCGACACCCGAACCCAAUCCCCAGGGUUCCCAAUUCCACCAAAGGAUUAAUGUUGAUCACAUAGGGCCGAAGCACACCCUGUAACAUGAACCAAAUCAAAUGCUUGAUCAGAAGGCGCCUUGUUGGAACUGUCGCCUUUAACGUCCUUAGAGUAUCCUAAACAUUGCUGACACCACGGUACCUACGCUCGAUGAUGGCAAAGCGAAAUCACCAACGCUCUCUCUAACAAUAUUCUGAAUCAACUCAGAGCCCAACACAAGAGGUACUGUACUAAACUGAACUUCCACCACAGUACUAAACUUGUCCAAAUGUCUCCUCUUAACUGAUUCUGUACUUCCUUGUAAAAUGUACAAUUGGGAUCUUUUCCAUCCCUCUAGUACAACUCGGACUCCCCUUUGGACCUUCAAGACUCCACUUUCUUCAGGGAAUUUAUACCCUUUUGCAUCCAGGGUACUUAGCGAAAUGAGAUUCCUUUUCAGGUCAAGAACAUGUCGAACCUGAUCAAUUGUUCUAAGUGUUCCAUCCCGCAGCCUCAAUCUGACUCGACCGAUCCCAGCAAUAUGACAAGAUUGGUUGUUUUCCAUUAAAACUCCACCUUGUUGAACAUCCUCAUAUGUUUGAAAUAAAUUCCUAUCAGAACAUAUAUGGUGUGAACAUGUUGAAUCAAGAAUCCACUCCUCGUCAGGCCUAGACUCCACAUCAGAUACCACGGUUAAUAUCACAUUUUCGCCAUUUGAACAAUUCUCAACAACAUUGUUUUCGUCUAAAUUCAAAGGUUACACCCCACGAUUUACAGCUAAAUUACCUUUAGCCUGUAACAUAUCGCAAUCCUGCCGAAUAUGUCCUUUCCUUUUGCAGUAGUAACAGGUCACAUUGCUAAAUCUAACUCUCGAUCUGCUUCUUCAUAGACCACCGUGAGAUACAAGAGCUUCUCCAUCCCUUGAUGUAGCUCCAACCAAAUGCUUCAUUUUUCCCUUUGAGUGCAAAGCAUCAUAGACAUCUUCUAUAGUCAAAAUAUCUCGACUAUACAAGAUAAAAUCUCGAAACGAUGCAUAAGAUCCAGGCAGCGAACACAACAUGAUCAAGGCAAGAUCCUCUUCAUCAUAUUUAACCUCUAAUGUCUCCAGAUCUGCAACUAUUUUCUUGAACACGAAAACAUGGUCUUCCAACGACUCUUCUUCCGCCAUGCAAUGUAAAUACAGCUUCUGCUUGAGAGUCAGUUUACUUCUAAGACUCUUAGUCAUACAAAACUGCUCCAACUUCACCCACAAAGCAGCCGUCAUUUUCUCCUUCAAAACAUCCUGCAGAAUAUUGUUGGACAGAUGAAGAUGAAUCAAUGAAACAGCCUUCCGAUCCUUCUUUUGUUUCUCCUCCGUUGUCCAACUAGUUGGCAUCCGCUCAAUACUCAGCAACGUAUCAUCCAAAUUCAACUGCGCCAAAAUAACCCUCAUCUUUACUUGCCACAACGAGAACCUUGUAUUGCGAUCUAACAGUGUAACAUCAUACUUCAACCUAGCCAUCCCAAAAAAAUCUUAACCAAUCUACGAAAGGAACCAAACUCUGAUACCAAUUAUUGGGCGCGAAAAGUUCAAUAACACACAUUGAUUCCAAACCGGAUUAUAAAGAACGAGAUUUAAUGGCAAUAUUGAAGUAUACUAAAUCAUACCAUGAAAACACAAGAUUGAAUUUGUAAAGAAAUAACACAAAGGUAAACGUAGAGGAACGAUGUUUAUUAAUUUAACAGUAUGGAGAAUACAAGACAGACUAGCAAUACUGCUUCUAUAUUACUCUCUACAAACUUACCAGAUGAGCCUCGUAUUUAUAGGUCAACCCUAGAAAAGUCCUAAAAGGUAAGAAAAUAUAUUACAAUUAGGAAACUCAAUUUUAAUAGGAUUUUGUUUCCUUAUUCAACUUAGUUUCCUUAAACCCUAGGUUAAUAUUUUUCUAGUCCAAGUCGAAUACGCCUUUUCAAAAGACUUCUAUUUGAGACAUACUCCUAAUACAAUGCAACUAAAACCACUACAUAUUUUGCCCCCAAGGCACAUCUCCAAGUGGUAAAAGGGGAGGGUGGAGAAAUCCAGUUUUGCUUGAGGCUGCUGCGUCAAGGGUUCGAAUCCCGAAAUAUGGAUUUGGCUCUUGAGUAAGUGCAAGUGUACAAGCAGCCUUCCACCCUGUACCCUUGGAGGUAUAACCUGCGAUUUAUCUCCCUCACGAUGCUCCAGGACAGGGGUGGUGAGGGACUCUUAAGGUUAGAGUUUAACCUUUUUUUAAAACCACUACAUAUUUUGAAACAAAAAUUAAAAUUCUUUUUAUUGGAUUUUAGUUCUACAGAAGCUAAGCAAAGUUCUGGUUUAAAUGCUUAAUAAUUGUAUCCAAAUUGACUCCAGCUGAAUCAACAGAAAGAUCAAUUUUUUUCGCAAGGCCCAAAAGAUUAAUUCUCAAAAAAAUUGAUCAAAACGAAAGAUUCUCACUGGAAAUGGAAAGCAUACUGCAUACGAAACAUUGAAAUAUCUAGGACAUGUAGGUGCAGCCAAAGAAAUCCAAAUAAAACAAAAACAAAGUUCGAAAAUAUCUAUGCAUCCAAGAAUUUUUAAAAAAAUGCAAAUCUAUGGGUUUACCUUGAAAUUCAGAAACAUUUUCCCCCAACCAAGAGACUCUGGAGGUAAUAGAAAUCGAAAUUGGAAUCACAGAGGCCCAGAAAUCAGUUGAAAUCUGAGCGUACACACAGAGGAGGAUUCUGGCGGACUGUCGCCUGCUGGUGUGGGGGUUGUUUCUUGGAGUUUUCUCUCUAUAAUCUGUAGACAGAUUGAUAGAUAGAUAUUUCUCUGCUUCUCUUCGUUUACUUCGCCUGUGAAAUUCUCGCUUCAUUCAUUGUUUGCCUUUUUCUACGAGGAGGAAUAGAAUAGGAGGUGAUAACUCAACAUUCCUAAGACUCGAUCUCGGCCUAUAAAAUCCCAACCUUGUCCCCUUACGAAUCCCUCGAAGGUAAGGUCAGGUGUAUAAAGGUUGGUCGGGCUCAUAAAGGUAGGUCGGGCAUCGUUGUUCAUAUAAGGCCCUCGAUCCCCUGGCGUGGCUCCUAGGAAGAACUAUCUUAUUCCACCUGCAAUUCUUACCUAAUUUGACUCCCUCUUCAACUCAAACUCAAGUAGAAUACUUUAAAAGAAAUACGAACUCCUUAUCCUACGGGAAUAAGUACC